rnacentral:rRNA from 1 species
UACAGAGGGUGCAAGCGUUGUUCGGAAUUAUUGGGCGUAAAGCGCACGUAGGCGGUUUGUUAAGUCGGAUGUGAAAUCCCUCGGCUCAACUGAGGAAGUGCAUCCGAAACUGGCAAGCUUGAGUACGAAAGAGGGUCGCGGAAUUCCCGGUGUAGAGGUGAAAUUCGUAGAUAUCAGGAGGAACACCGGUGGCGAAGGCGGCGACCUGGGUCGAUACUGACGCUGAGGUGCGAAAGCGUGGGGAGCAAACAGG